AUAUUUGUAUGGAUUGCUCUAGAGUACACAAAUCAGCUAAGUGAAUGUUAUCGAUGUGACAGGCCGUUGUUUCUUUUUUUUUUUUUUUUUUUUUUUUUUUUGUUUACCCUCCUUUCUGUUCCUAGAGUUGAGGAAGUUGUUUUCUUAAUUAAUACCUUGCAACUAUUCAUUUAAUAGAACUUACAGAAGGUGUCUGAAAUUUUUAAGUAGGAAGAAGUGAAGAGGUAUAACAAGAUAUUAUCGAUGCAUUUUCUGUUUUGAGGUAUGGUUAUUACAUACCUAUUUGGUUUUAGUUUCCUUACAGAGGAAGUCAUGUAGUUUUCUGUAUCUUCUUUCAUCUUCUCUGGGAAAUUUCCAGAGAAGUUUGUGUUCGAACUGAAGUCUGUAAUGGGUACAGUCUUUUAUUGGGCUGAAUGCAUAAUAAUAGGUGUGCUUCUGAGAAUGGGUCUGAGAGCACAAAGUUUCCUGAAGUCAGUCCUUAAGUAAAAUUGUAGCACAGCUGAAGCUAGGUGGUGUUUUACUAUUGAUUUCACUGAGGUCCUUCUUUUCAUUAUUUGCUUACCUGAGCUGUUCAAACCAAAUUGUGAAAAAUGUGUACGUUCUGUUCCACUUCAUAAAGAAUGCAUAUUGUUUAAGACUUUAUGAAGAAACAUGUUUACUUUUUUGAUGACAACAUGUAUAAGUUGUUUAAAUGUAUAUUUAAACUGCUAACAUGGAGAUCAUGCAAGCAACAGAAGGUAUGAAUAUGUCACUGGGCAUUAUUAAUAUUAGUGCUCACGCUACAGUGAAGGAUUAGAAUUUCACCAGAAGCUCAUCCGGUGUUAACUGCUGCAUGCAAACACAGUUCUCUGUGUUCGAAAAAUUGCUUUCUGCCUGUAAAUGUAGCUGUGAGGAACUGGGAGAACAGGGAGGUCCCCCUGCUGUUGGGAGACAGGUGACUGCAGACAAGGAUGUUAUUGUGGAGCAGUGCAUUUCUGUGCUCCUGUGAAAAAAAUGCCUCCCUGCAAAAGGCUUUAAUGUGAAAGGCAACGAUGGAUAACAUUAAUUAUGAAGAGAAGAGAUUUAAACCAAACAAAUAAAUUGAAAUCCUGAGAUGGAUUGUUCAGAAUUUACCUAUGUCAUUUUUUUUUUUUCGUGUAGAUGGCUAUAAUUGUAACCACUAGGCAUGGCCUGUGCAACAGCUUGACUGCUUCCAUUUACAGGCAAUUAUUAACAACACUGUUUAAUUACAAGCUAAUUUCCUCUAAAGCAGCUUAUGCUUGAAGCUUCUGUGAUUUAAAUGUGAAAUGACCCCAUUAUUCCUUUAUUUAAUUGAUAUUAGCUGAAACUAAUUAACAUACAAAACUCAAAUCAGCUUUAAUUAGAGAGCCAUUACUGGUAUAUCUCUAAUUAGUAUUAGAGGUGGAAACAUUUGCAGUGAUGCUGAAUUGUUAACAUUAAGAGUAGCUGUAUGAGCCACGUUGAAAGUAAAUGGCUUUGGAGAGAAUAUAUCUAGAGAGCUUUUGUCUAAAUUUACUUUAAGUGACAAACUUAAACUGUAAGCCUACUCUUAAAGACAAUACACAAAUUGUCAUAUUUAUAAACUACUUUGAAGACACCUGUAUGUGUACUUUGCUUUCAUGGUGCGCUAUUACAGUAGGCUGCUUUUCUAUCUUAACAGAGAAGCUAAAAUUGAGCUAAUCUUCCCCAGUUACACAAACAAAGUCUCAUUCACAGCAGGGUAAAUUUCUCCAGCUGUUUAUGGACCGGGUAUGAACAGCUGAUCUCUUCUAAAGAACUCAAGCUGGGAAAUAAGGGGGGGGGAGGGGGAAUGCUGUUGAGCAGGAGGUGAAAUGGGUAAUGGUGUAACCUACUGUGAAACUGGUCAUUCAGAAAGCUGUGCAUUUUACCCAUGCCGCCUUUUCUGAUACUGUUUGGUUUGCUUUUUUUUUUUUUUUAACAUGAUCACUUUGCUGCUGUAGAAUGCAUCAAUGCUAUUAUAACCCCCUUGAUAUGCUUUGAUUAAGACAAGUAACUACUUUAAAAAAAAAAAAAGCACCUGGGUGAGAAGGAGCCUGCAACAGGACAGGGAAUGGAAACUGUGUAGCUUUUGAACUGAGGAAAGAGCCCAUGAUGUGGGAGAGCUUCUCUAUGCUACAAGUGUAAUGUCAGGAAGGGAUGUGCCUAUCUGUAAUGAGCCUGUCCGCAGCUGUCCCACAAGAACCUCCCAGCCCUACUGGUAGGGGAAGGCUACCAGUAAAAAACUUCUUUUGUGCUGGAUAGGUGUAAACCAUUUUCUCUAACAGUGCCGUAUCCAUUAAAAAAAAAAAAAAAUCAGAUUUGCUUGCUCUGAUGCUGUUUUUUGUGUGUGCGCGCACGCAUCACUUUAUGUACAUAACAGAUAGAAAACAUGAUUAAACCAAUUGCAUGUAAGUCUCUGGUCCGUAUUCAGGAAAUGCAGUAGGAUGAUAGUCUACGUGUGUAUGAAGGCAUGUAAAAGCACUUUUUAUGUAUUUGUUUCUUCUUGCCUGUUUGUAUUUUUCUCAUCUUGGAGUGUAACCUCUUAGACAAAGGUUAGAUCUGAAGCUUUAAAAAAAAAAAAAGCUGGGUUGUAUAUCAUGCAAAGGUGUAUUAUGGUAUAUGGUAACAUUAGUUAGAAAACAAACACAGCUAUACUGUUGUGAAUGGCUCCUUGGUAUGGCAGGCUGAUGCGUACCAGGCAUCUCUGGUGACAGCUGGGCAGUAACAAGCAAUAUGUUGUCAAGCUCCAUCUCGGUGGUAAUAUGGCUCUACCCAGAUCUCCUCCUGGUCUUAUAUAAGUUUGCCUCUUGGCUGUUGUAGGUUUUCCUUUCUUAGUUUACCAACCUUAGUUUACUCUGUAACUUGUUAAUUGCGCUACAGCCAAAAAGCUAAUUUAUCUUUACUGCAGGAAUUUUUUUUUAGCCAAAUCCAAAUGCAUGGAAAUGAGAGAAAAUCCCUCAACGUUUGUGCAUCUGAAUGAAGCCUUCAACUGGUAUCACUGACUUUCUAGCGGAUCAUGUUCUAGAUCUCCUCUUGUAUGUUAAGCUUUUUCAGCUGCAUGCUGUUUUAAAGAACAUUGAUAGUGCUCAGAUUUAUUUCUUUAUUUAUUUUUUAAAUUUUGGGAGAUGUCACUGAAUCCAAGGAAGAAGAAAUUUAUCAACAGUGGAUAGAGCUUGGAUCAGUGCCUUGAAAACCUCUUCUUGGAAUGCUGUGGGAAUUAGUCAGGUCUGUUUGUGCAAACGUACAUACAGCUACUGACUUAAAGCCUUUGCACUGAUCCUGAACUUCUGGAAAUUGGAAUGCCUUCAUUUAUCAUCAGGAAUUCACACUAAGAUUUCUUCUGCAUGUAUGUAAAAGCUGAGGGGUAUAACUGAAUAACCAGAAUGGAAAUGUUGGCUGAGAAACAGGUCUUUAAUUUUGUUUACAUACCAUGAAAGUAGCCUAAAGAAAGUUGCUGUAACUAAAGGGGUCUAGAUUUCUCAUAGGGGGUAGGGGGGAAGACAGAAAUAAGUCUAUGUCCCAUUGCUGAGUGGUCAUUAGCUUUUACAAGUUACUUCCUUUUUCCAAGGUCUAAUUGGUGGCCUGUUGGGAGCCCUGAAUGUUGAGCUGUCAAAACAACCUCUCUUUUUAUUUUUUUGUCACAUUCCAAUAUAAUUAGACAGAUGAUUACAGUAACAAACACAGUACCAGCUGUUUGAAGCUUAAUAAUAUUUAAGUGUUACCAUCCCUUUAUUUUUAAGGUACCGAAACAUAUGGGAAUCAUAACCCAUUUCUCUCUCCCUCUCUCUCUCCUUACUCUGCUAAGCUACAUGUUUGUAUUCACUUGCCAAACCUGUGUUUGAAGAAAGGAGGAAAAGAAAUAAUAAUUCUAAAAUAACCUGUAAUAACUCCAGCUCAUCUGUCCCAUUCAUGAAAGUCCAGUUCUCCUUCUUUCCCCAGUUCUUCACUGACAUUACUUCCCUGGGCACAGAAAAGUGACAACAAUGUGUAAAUAGAUUGGUGCCACUUUUCCAGCCUGAAGCUCGGUUAAUGGCAAUAAAAAGACUAAUAACAGUAAUAAAGAUUUUUUUGGACUGCUCUUUUACUCAAAAAACUCCUUGAGGCAGCAGAUGUGUCCUUUCUAGUUGGGGCUACAUCACUGCUCGGGCGGCUACUGGAACUAAUUUCUCUCCCAGGAUUCAGAUUUUCUGCAGAAAAAAUUGUCUGUUUUCAGAUAGACACUUACUUUCUCACUUCUCCUGUAUAGUUUUAAAAGGAAAGCUUAUAUAGAAGACCAAAAGCACAAGAAAGGAAAGUAAGUAGUAAAGUAGUUUAAGGAUAUCAAAAAAAUAUAGCCAAACUCACCCUGUGCAAUAUUACUCAGAAAGCUGCUGAGUUAUUCCAGGGAUUAAACUGACCACAGAGCUUGCAUUCCUGGUUGUUCAGAGCUAGCUUUCUGCCAAAGUACUUUAAGACUUUGGCAUCUUUUGCUUUCAUGUAACCAGGGUUCGGGUCCCGUAGCUUUAUCCCCUCCACUCAGAGCUCUGUUCAGCAAAAUCCCUGGGCUUUGCUUUCAGUGUUUAUAACGGGUGGGAGGAAUGUGCAGAAGGAGGCUUGAAGGAAGAGGGAAGCCAAGGACAAUAGUGGAUUCUCUAAUGCAGUAUAACUGGGUUUCUCCACCUUGCCUGGCACUGGUGUACAAUGUUCAACAAGUGGCAUACUUAGCUCUGGUCAGGUAGAAGUCAUACUGUUUCACAAGGCAGCGAAAUAUCUCCAUGUUUGGGACUGAAUACCCUGGGUGCUUAGUGGGAGCUUUGUCAGAUGGGUUUGGCUGGGACCCUGGGGAAGCUGCCUCUGUCCCAGUGGCAUUGUGGUGUAGGGCUGCAUGCAGUGCAGCGCAGCUCUGUGCUGGAAACAGGCAGCAGGUGUGGUGGUUCCUUAUCAGCCAGGUGUCCUGUGGGGUCUCCAAAAUGGCUUUUGCUUCAGCUGGAGAUUAAAAUCUUCUUGAAUGAACUCUGUGUUUUGGUUUCUUUUAAAACAUUGUGAGGUUGGGACCAGUCUCCUUUUAAAUAUGGAAUGAAAAUCAGCAUAAUUGCUGCUACCCUAGCCAUUUGCAGAAAGUACCACAUACUUGCUCUCAGAGGUGCCUGAAUUCAUGCUAUAUAAUGGGGGUGAUUUCCUGUAAAAUCUGAUUUAAGGAUGAUAGUGUAAAUAAAAGGUUUAUGAACUUUAGUAACAAAGGAAAGCUAAGGAGAUAUUAAGAUAGCAGACAAAUACAUCCCAGUCAAUUUCUUUUUUGGGGAAAAAAAAAAGUAUCAUGUUUUUAUCAAGAGCAUUUUCAACAGAACAUUAUGAGUGGAUACUUGGCUGCAUAAAAGAUGAAGUGCUUUUCCUUUUUUCUUCCUUUUUAUUUCUUUUCCUUUCCUCACCCUCUUACUACUUUCAGUUUUGAAAAUGAAUCCUUUCCAACAGGCUGAUCCUUUUUUGAUGUUGAGUCAGUGGACAACUGAGCUAUUUCACACUUGGAGAGCCAAAUUUCGUCUCCUAUUGCACGUGUUCAAGCCUAAAUUUGGGCCUCAGAUGUUUCAGCAGAGACAAGAUUACUGCAGGCACAGGGUGUAGAAAUUUACACUCAAGCUUGUGUAGGUAUGCUAGCAAGAUAAUACUUUCCAGGAUGGGAAAUCACUUCACCUUCAAUGAACAAUGUUGAAGAAAUAAAUCUGCUUUAAAGAACAACAAGAAAAAACCUUCUGUUCUCUCUGCCUUUUUUUUUUUUUUUUUUUUAAUUCCUGAAGGAUGCUAAAGGGAACUUUAAGGUAAUAUUAUUUUGUCUGCAUGGCCUACAAAGUCUCUGGCAAAAAUCAGGGAACCUUAUGGAGUUCUGUGCUUAAUGUUGGUGACACUUCUUUGUUCUGGCCUGACCCUCUCUUAUCCUCAGAAGAGGGUGACACAGUGAUCUUAGUGCUGUUUUGGGAUGAAAAUUUCCUACUCUUACUCCACUGUGACAGGUAUGGGGGAGGAAAGAGGAUUAACUAUAGUCAGAGUAUUAACUUCCCCAAGACGGUGGACAUGAGAACUCUGCGAGACUGAUAAUUGAAAAUGUAUAUUAUACCUAUAUGUGCCAUUGGAAGUUAGCUGUGAACUAAAUGCCUUUAAUCUGCAGUUUGCCUCACAGCAGUCUCUUUAAUGCUGAUACUACAGUAAGACCAUACAGACAAAGCUGUUUUUUUUGUUGUUGUUGUUGUUUAUUUUUGUUUGUUUGUUUGUUUAGCAGGUUUUCAUGCACAGCCCUAAGCAGGGGGAAAAGAUUUUCCUGAGUUGCUGGGAAGGAUGUUGAGUGGCCCAUUCUCUGCACAAACUGACUCCCUCAAGACAGUGUUCAGAGAUCGAUGAAUAGCUUCACGUUAGUGUAAAAUUUUAUCUGAAUACUGGUGCCUAGGCAGCUCAAUGUUUCUCUUAUUUAUUUUUACUUCAGCUUCCUUACUCAGAAUAAGAUGGUGUCCUACUGGGAUGAUUAAAACCAGUUGGCUGACUCUGAAGUCAGCACACUACAUAGUAUAGCACAAGAUGAGAUGCUCUGAAGAAGGUUUUAUUGUAUUAUCUGUUCUGCUAUUGCAGUAAUUAAAACCCAACAAACCAGACCAAAAAAAAAAAAAAAAUCUUCCUUUCCACAACUGUUUGUCUUGAGAAAUCCAGAAAAAAAUUUAAAUAUUGAAACACUCAAGCUAUUUUUACAUCUGGCUUAGAGCUGAUCUGUGUCCAUUUUGGUUUAGGUUCUUUUAAUUGUGCUAAAAUAUACCCACUGUGCAUGGAGUUUUGUUGUUGUUAAGGAUUAAACAUAUAAAGGAGAAACUGUAUAUUGCUGAGAGGCUGUUUCUGUACUCCCCCCCCUCCCCUCCCCCCCCCCCCCAAGUGGAUUAAAAGGAUGAUGGUGCCAGAGAAGCACAAGAUUUAUUGUUCAAGAUUUUAUCCACUUUUUUAAAAAACAAAAACAAAAAAACUCUUGUUUUGAGAAUACGAAAAUAGACUGUACAAGUUCAUGAAGGACAGUAUUUGGAAUGUGUAAUAUCAGCUUAUUAAAAAUAAGCAGACUGUAUUCUCCCUAGUGCUGCCUUCUAGAGUUGCAAUCUGGCACCUUUUAGUGUGAAGUGGAGUGAAAACUAUAACCAGCUAUUCAACACCAUGAAUGCAAGGAGGUGAGUUGCCAAGACAGAAGCAUAAGGCUGUAUGAUUUGUGCAACUGUUUUGAUUAAGAUGCCCAGUGGCUCCUUGUGAGUAAGUUUACAAAACAAGGGCCCAUAUGUAUGGCAAUGAUAAAGUGGCUUAUUGAGUGUCAUGCCUGAUACUCAUGGGGAAUAAAUGUCUUCUAGCUUGGUGUAUGAUACAGAGGUUGCUCAUACUUUAUGAAAAUACUUGUCUACACGUAGAUGGCACUGAUUAUGUGAAAAUGGCCUUGUCUGGAAGCUGAUCUAGCCAGGGCACUGGAGGACUUCAUGCCUUAGUUCUGCUAGUGCCAAGUGGAAAUUACAAUGGGGCUUUGGUCUGUGUUGAGCUCUCUACUGUUUAGCUAUUUACAUGCAUGCUUGAAACUACCUGGUUAAGUUUGGUACCAAUGUAACCUGAAGGUGCACCUGUUUAUUGGUGGGCAACAGUUAGCUUGAGAGCAAAACCUGAACUUUCAAUUUUGCCUGGAAUGUGCUCUGGACAAAAUUUGGAGAUGUUUUCUCAUCUCCAUUUCUCUGAAUGCUGUUGAAACGCUGUUGUGUUCUUGAUGACAAAAAUCUAGCAUGAGGCUAGUAUCAGUCUUCUGAAUAGACAGUAAUGUAGCUCUUCCAUUUCAAAGGUAUUUGGAAUUUUCUGUGGAUUAGCUUUGGUCCCACAACUGUCUAUUUAAAAGAUUGGUAUGGUUUCUUCUCUGUACUUCUUAGCAUGAGAUGGUCUCAUAACAUAAUAUAUUUUAACCACGACAGGAAAGGAAAAGACCACUUCUCCUAAGCCACAAGCAUUUUGUACAGAGAUAUGUUUUGAUUCAGCUCCCUUCAUCCAUCCCAGACUAUAAUUUGCUUUGCUGCAGGCUCCAUAAGACUCUGCACAACAUGUGUAUGUUUUUGGCUGGUUAUUUCAAAACAAUCUUUAAAGCUUAUGGAAGGCGAUUCUGAAUUUUAGUGGGGGGGGGAGAGAGACUUGGAAAUAAUCAUAGUAUACAUAUAGUUAAGGUUUCUGCUCAGAAUAUCAGUUGGCUAAUUUCAGCAAUAAAGACCCACAGAGGCUUGGAGAACAGGUAUAGAGCAUGGUUAUUUCAUUCUUUCACAUCCUUUUUGGCUUAUGAAUUCUUCCAUGAGAUAUCAGUAAAACAAAUAAAUAAAUUCUGGAUUGCUUUUAAUGGCAUCUAAAGGCAUUUUAAUGUGUGGACGAUAGGAGUAAGGCAGUGAAGCCCCUGAAGCCCAAGGCUGCUGAGGGUGAAUGCCCGACAUUGCUGGCCCAGUUCCUUAGGCUGCUGCAUGGACUGAGAGCCUGCAGUGACCAUCUUGAUGAGCAAGGCUGCUUUGGCAAUCCUGGCUCCCCACCUGUCUUUCGUUCCUGUUACAAAUAGGCAGUGCUGACACUUCUGCACAUGAAUAUAGUCAUCCACCUUGCCUAGCCAUUGUGUAUGUCUAAUGGUUAUUAUCCAUUUCCAAAAUUCUUCCCUUGGUUUGAAAACAAAUUUCACGCUAGUUGUGUGAUGCAAGAGGAACAGCAUGUGUGCUUGCCUCUGCAUGUAGAGAACAGAGUGACAAGUGUCUCUCCUGCUUGUACCCAGCACAUCUAUCUCUGACUGUACAGAAGCAGGGUGGGAAAAGUGAUUUACGCUCUAGUUUCACAGGUAUAAAGAGUUAAAUGUGUUAACAAUCUUUAUUAAAAUGUGUUCAGUGUUAAAAAAGGGUAACACUUGUAAGAGUGGGUAACUUCAUUAUUUAUAACAGCCUUAAGUCUCCUUAUGCAACUAAAAAGAGUGACAUGCUCUUAGUGUUAGAAUGGGGCUGGAAGUGGAAGACAACUAGGAAUCAAGCUUUGAUCAGAAGUCAAAUUUACUUAUUAAUUUUAGGGGGGUUUGUUGGAUUUUUUUAAAGUGUCUUUUUGUUAUGCAUUCAAACACUUCCUUAAGGGAAUGUGUGUGAGAUGCCCAUUGCAAAGGGUGCAGUGCACGUUUAGGAGGCAGAGGCAGCAUCAGCAGUUCAACUCUAUGUGAAAUAUUUUGGAUGCUUGCCAUUUUUUUUUCUCAUGUAUUUAAUAGCUUUCUUAAUGUCCUGGCUUUCUGGAUUAGCAGAGAGACCUAGCAAAUGGAAGCCAAAGAGCUCUGUGUGCAUGCUCAUGGGUGAUAGGCACAAAUUAGAAGGGCUGUGGGAAAGGACCCCCCUCAUGUACAGCUGUUGUGCCAUGUGUAUGUGUUGGGGAGGGGAAAGGCAGGUGGUUUUCUGAUCAAUACUGUUAUACUGGUCUGAGCAACCUUGUGGAUGCAGUUAUGGAUUAUGCCCCCUUCACAUAAUAUGAAUUUAUGCCUCUAUCCCCACAGGAGAAUCGGGCUGCAGUGAAUUAUACUUGCACAGCUACAGUAUGGUUCAAAUUAUGCGAGUAGAGAAGACUUAUUUCCAGUUCUUAAUGAAACAAUAGGGACAGAUCCAAAGACUGUCAAAAUUAAUGGCAGGAUUCCUGUGGGCUGCUUUCCAUUUAUUCAAGAGCCACCUAAGAGGCCACUUUACCCUCUAGAAAAAAAAAAAAGUGUAUAUAUAUGUGUGUGUGUGUGUAUAUAUAUAUAAAAAAAAUAUAAGUGUAUAUAUAUAAAAUAUUCUAUGACUCUUGGGCUUAUUUUCCCUCCCAGGGUAGUGGAGAGGACCCCUAUUAUUACUUUUGGGAGGUGGCUCAGGCUCUGGUAUUGGAUGCGAGUUCUUUGAGAAUGUAAUUAGGAAAUACAUCACUUCAGCAUUUUUAUUGUAAACAUACAUCACUGUAACACACCAUUGUUAUGAAAUAUCUGAUAUUCUGGAAAUAUAGAGAAAUCUCAUUUAUUUUCAGAAGGAAGGCAACUUUUCUUCAAGAUCACAAAAAUAUCUGUUGCUGCUGAAAGCAUGCUUUGUGUUAACUUCUAGAGUCUGUGGGUCUAAGCCCACGUAUGUGUUGGCAUGAGCAUUCCUUACUGUUAGAUGUAUGUUGUAUGAAGAUGGCAGCAACUUUGUGACUGAUUAACAAAUACUGGCAGAAUUUCUGGCUUUCCUUGAGAAGAAAAGUAAUUCUUCUCUCUGACAGUCCUGCAGUUUUUCAAAGACAUCUGUGGAGCCUGCCUAAAUGUAGUGUUUGGUGUUGCUUGUGUGCACCUUUGGGAACAUCAUUCUUUUGUUUUGUGCCAGUGGAAACAUAUAUGACACUGCUGCUAGUGCAGCAUAUUCCAUAUGUUUUUCCUCCACACUAUUUUCCGUUUUGAACCAUUCCAGUACAAAUGAAAGCAUUGUUCCAGUCAGAAAUCAAUGUAGUUUUCCAAAGCUAUAGAGGCUUGAUUGUGCGAAUCUCUCUAUACAUUUUUGGAUUUAAAAGUUGUCUGAUCCAAGACACUGAGUGUUUGAACCUGUGUGUUUAUAGCAGAUUUACUUGACUUGGUGUUUUCUUCAGUUAUGUGCCACUUUUGAUUUCCUGUUCUCUGCCUGUGUUUUUGCUAGGUACAGGUGUAGCUAUUGUUUUGGGUUCAGUGGACAUGGUUCUGCCUCAUCCCUGCACUGCUGAUGGGUGACCUUUCCCUGGAAAGUGGCCAUUUGUCAAUGUAAAUGUCCCUGCUUACUUGGACUUUGCCUGGGAUUGCAGAGGACCAGCAGCUUUCCCUGUGCUGUUUUGUUGGGAAUUACACCCACAGAGGAGGAAGCAAAAAGCAAGAGGACACUGUCACAAAGAGGAUGAGAAGCUGAAACAUCUUUGGUAUUACCACUUGCAUGUUAAAUGGGAUUCCCCCCUUGAAGAUAUUUUUGCGUUGUCAGAGGAAGGAAACGGCAGCUGUGAAGUUGCGCUCUUCUCAUGCAGACCGCAGAGCCCACCCCACCCCCCUGGAAAUUCAUGCCAGAUGCAGGAAAGAAUGAGCAAGGGUUUCAAAGUGGACACUCAGCAUAUGGAAAGGAAUCAUUUAGCAACUAGAAAGUCUUGGAUAAUUUCAACAAGUCUCAGCACUAAAGCAGCACUUCAAGAAAAUCUGCUCUGGGGCUCUCAGUAGUGUAAAAUAAAGAUCUGUAUGUCUUUUCAUCUUCAUGGAAACCAAGUUUAAAACUGGCCUGCUGAAAGCUCUUUUUUAAUAUGUUGUCUGCAUGCUUGUUGUGAAGUAAUAGUAGUAAAUGCUAGGUUUUGAAGAACAGUAAACUUGAGGUAACAAGGUGCCUAUGAGAAAGCAAAGGUUUUGACCAGCUAAAAUGAGACAGCCAGGCCCUUUCUAGCUCUCUGCCUCCAGAAGAUACGUAGACUCCUUGGCCCAAAGCCAUAGCUAUUGUAACUGGAGUUGAUUAGAAAAUGGUAAGCAUUUUCCAUAAAACAGACAAACUCAAGAAAUGUUUUGUUUAAAAAUAUUAACAGAAACGUUCAACUAAAACAGCUGAACACCCAGAAGUCCAAUUUUAUUUUCCAAUUUUUUUGAAAUGUUUUGAUAAAAUCUUGGCUUUCAGAAACACAGAUGAAAUAUUUUUGGGAUCACUUAGCCAUAGACAAAAGAAUAACUUGAACAAAACACAAAGUCUCCAAAAGUAUCCAUUUCAGGAGAGGCCUUUCUGAAAAAUGUUCUGAUUGAAAAAAUGUGACCUUCGAAGUUUAUUGGGCUAAGUAAAGAAGUUAAUACAGGACAUCUUGGCUCUGCCAUGAGCACUCCUAACAAAUUGCUUUGUUCUGUCCCCCACUUGGGAGUGUAACCACCCAGUGAAUGUAGCUUUUGGUGUGCUGCAGAGCCAGAAGUAGAUAUGCUUUAAGCUCAAGAGAAAGAACUGAGUCAGGUGUGUAAGGAGCAGAAGAAAGAACAAGGUUAGAUCUGCCAAGAAAGAAGAUUCUUCUUCAGUUCAGAAGUAAAUUACAGGUAGAAGGGAGAGAGAGAAAACAAGGUCACGUGUUUAAAGGAAAACGUGUGCUUGCUGGUCUCUGCGCUUCAGUAAUAGACUUGUGUUCUUUGGUCCUUCACCACAGCCAUCUUUUUAGUGCCCUAAUUUCUUGACUCACUAACUGAUAAACAAUUUUAAUGACAUGGUACUAGGGAUAUUUUCUGAAGAGCUUUUCACAUUUUCUGUCUUCCAGUGUUGUAUUAAAUUGCAGUUAUUUAGGCACAGCUGCUGCCUUCUCCAAGCAUGCUUAUGGUGUCAAGGUAGGCUGUAUGUUCAAAUCUGAAGGUCGGGUCACGGAGCUCUUGCCAUCGGUAAUGCAGUUGUUUUUCUCUUGUACAAUGUGCAGCUUAUUCUUCUUCAUGAACAAUAGAUUGAAGAUAUAUCCUUAUUUCAAUUUACGUCAGCACUGGAUAUAAGUGGAAAUAUUACAUCUCAUUGUAAAUGGGGACAUUUAUUCUUAUAUUUUGUGUCUGCGUAUCAUGGAUAUGCUUAAUAUCUGUGCUGCACACAAUAUAGAAAAUUAUAUUAGGAAUACCUACCUUCUUGGUUUUCCCAGCUGGAAGCAAUAAAUCUUUUUCUAUAAACCAUACCCAGGCAUUCCUGGGCACUCAGAAUCAGGAGGGUGCUGCAUCUCUCUGUUCACACAAUGGGCCUGGUAGAAAAGUUCAGUUUUGCCUUCUUAAUUCAGCAAGAAAAAGGACUGCCUUCUUGCAAACCAUCCAUGCUAAACUGCAUAUUAGAAACUUUUGCUCAAACAGUUCAUAACAGAUUCCAAAUACACUCCUCAGCAAACGCUCACUUUGGUGCUGUAGCCUGCUGAGGAUUAUACUUCCAAGUCAUUUAAACAUAAGCUUAAAUAAAGAUAUUCUUUAUAUAAAGAUAUUAUUUUAGUCUGAUAUCGAGACUUCCAGGACGUUAUCAUAAUGAUAGGAAAUUAUAUGCAGUCUGGGAAAACCAUGAUUAUCAUCCUUGAUUAGAAAACAUAUUUAAAUGCAUUAAUGGACACAACAUUCAAACUAGUCUGCUAAGUCAUAUUCAUCUGUCAGUUGUUAUAGAUUCUCUCUAAUUUGGGUUGUAUUUGGUACAAAACUUUUCAGCACCUUCUGGGAGGUGGGUCAUUCCUUCUUUUCAUUUGGAAAGGUUUAAUUCUAUGAUAGUCUGGGGAAAAGCAAGUAGCACUGGUAAUUUACUGUUAUGCAAGCAGUGUAUUUCUCAAAGGCUGAACUUUAAGGACAUCACAUGCAUGAUUCUGUUUCUGGCAGUAUCGUCUUUGAGUUCAGACUGUUCCUUUCAAGUUUUAUUUCGUCCACGUCUUUUGAAAUUCCCACUUUGUUAUCUUAGAGUCAUAAAUGUGAUGCAAUAGUGAAUUAAGGGAUACAAAGUAAUUAUUAUUAUUAUUACUUUUUAAAUGAAGGAUUUUCAGCCAGCAAUAUCUUGACAUUGGAAGUAGACCUAAAAAAUCUCUUUCAGAUAAUGGAAAUAGUGAAGUAACAUAACAAUGCAGUUUUUUCUUGUCUUGAAAUUAUAUUUUAUUAGGUCUUGUCUACUUCAUCUUCAGAUUUGGAGGACAAUGUAGUAAUGAUAUUAAAGAUAGGUGACGUCUAGGAAUAAAGAGUGCAUUUUGACCAAUGAAAUCUAAAUAUAGAUGAUUCCAUUUAAAAAGCAAACAAACAAAAAAGAAACAAGGAAUCCUACUGUUUCUCUUUUUUUUAGUUCUUUUAGAUUCUCUUGACUUUUUUUUUUUUUUUUUUUUUUCCUUAGUGGUUUUCAGCUCAAAAACUUAAUACCUUUUGCAGAAAGAAAACCCAAAAGUAUUACAAUAGCAAAAACACCAUGUCCUUUAUAAUGGAACACCUAUUCAGGAUAUCAGAGGGUUAGAUGAGCUUUUCAUAAGAGUACAACAGUAAAAGGCAAACCGUGCUUAUCAUUUAUAGUAACACCUCCUAGAUAAAUUACAAAUAUGGGUAGUGCUGAUAUUGUAUUGCAUUUCAGUCACUUCUACCAAAUAUAUAGGAAAAGAUGUUAAGCAUGCUCAUGAUCUGGAUUAGAUCAGGAAGGUCGUCUAAAGACAUAUUUAGAUCUGAGAAGAGCUACAAUUUAGUAAAUUCACUUUAAUCUGACCUGUGAUACAGUAACAGCUUUAGAAAGAAUGUCAUUUGACGGACUUCUUAAUGCUGCUGCUCAGAAAAUGAAGUUCUUUGGGGUUUCUUUUUCUUGCUGAGAGGAGUGUCCACCAUCUUUUUAUCAGAUGGCUUCAAAGAAAAACUGUUGCAAACUGAAGUCUGUUGGAAUAGACUAUUUCUAUUAAAAUUAUAAAUUCAUAGAAAGACUAUCAGUUCCAUAAUUUUCCUUUUCUGCCUUCAAAAUAAGGAGAAAAUCACAGUAACACAACAUGACCAAAGCAAUUAUCUAGGAAGGAAAAAGCUUCUGUAGAAAAUGUUUACCCACAUUACUUUUAAUAUGAAAUUGUAUGGAAUCAUGGUGAGGAUGGAGGAGAGACAUUGAUUUCAGCAGACUUUACCCUUGCAUUGGCCUGUAGUGGGAAGACAUUUGCCAUGUAGUGGAAAGUCUGAACUGAAAGGUCUUCUGUGUGGUACAACAAAACCAAGAAAAACAUAUUUUGAUAAGAACAAAUGAAAGCAAUAACCCAAAACAAACUAUAAGGAUCCUUUCAGUUAUUGAGGUAAGAAAGCUGAGUGGCAUAAUCUAUUUGGGGAUUUUAGCUAAUUUAUGCAUAAUUUCUCCCCUCUAUACCUCCUCCAAGUCUCUGUGUUCAAGAUGCUUGAAAAUAUGAAGAAUCAGGCCAGGUGGAAAUCAGAUCAUUUCUUCACACAGACUACAGAGUUAAUCCUUUGUGUAACUCCUUUGUAUAUUAGAAAAUUAAUCUUCAGCUGGUGAACUGAGCUAUCACCAUAAUCCCUUCAUGGCACAGGAAUUGUCCAGAUGGAGCUGUGUAGGGGCCAAGAUCUUGGCAUUAACUAGUUCUAACUUAAGAUUUUUCCAGCAUUCCUGGUUCUGCAUCUGUAUGAAUGUCUCAGGUAUAAUUUCUGUGUGAGGUCUAGUGCUCACAUCUUUCACUAUUAGAACCGCACUUAGCUGCAUUAGCUGCAGUGUGACAUAAACAUGAAUUAGAGAGCUACUAUGAAUAGGGCCCUUUUCAAGAAUAAGGGCCUUCCAUUAACAUUCAGAACAGGCUUCCUAACUGACCUCUGUAAUCAUUCUCUUAGCGCAAGUAGAUAGCUUUGUAAAAUUGCCGAAGUCAUGGAUAGCUUGAGGUUUUGUCACCUACUAUUCUGUUAAAUCAGUCAUGAAAGUAAAACUGAAGUUCUGUAUCCAGAUCUGUGGGAAAUUUGGGGUAAAAACCAAAUCAAGCUUACUUGGAUUUGAGCUUUCUUUUCUUUCUAUUCUUUUGGACUCACACAUGUUCUCACGUAUGCCAUAUGAGUACUGAAAGCAGAGCCAAAAAUUAAAGUGGUAGUUAUUCUGCCAUUUUUUUCUGCCAAAAUUAAAACUGUUCAGUCAUACACAUGCUUACACAAGAUGUUACUGCUUUUACUUUAGCCCCAAUUGUAGAAAUACCUUAUCUCUGAUAGACAGUGCAUCCCUUAAGGUAUUGAAUCUAAGGCUUGCCUACCAGUAUCAGUCAACAAAAAGUUUUAGGUUAGAUCUAUGAAUUAGAUGAUGCAAAUCUAUAUCCUCUGUUAUUCAAAGCAGGUGAUGAAUUGCUGCCAUUUUUCCUUUCUGACUUAAGAAGCAGUGAAUCUGUGAACAGUAAUAAUAUUAAGUAUUUAAUCUGGCUUCAGUUGCACUUCUAACAUUUGCUGCAAGCAAACUUGUUUAUACUUAGGCUAUAGAAGUGUCACUCUGUGCCUUUUCCAUAAGAGCUGUAUACAUCUGCAUAACUAAAAGCUGACAUUCUGUUGUUAGAAACAAAACAUCUUAAAUCUGCUGGUUUACUCUUCAGAGACAUUUUAUUUGUAAUCACACUGAUAGCUCUUCUGAUGAAGACUCCUUCAUUGGAAGCAAGGGGACAUCAGUACCUCUCAGAGUGCACUGAUACCCUCUCUGUUUAAGUCCUAAGUGAUAUUUACUGAAGAAUGUCAUAGAUCUACCCAUUACCCAAAGCCCACAGAGGCUACCAGAGGAUUUCCAUAGGUUUCAACAGGCUUAGGUCAAGCCUAAGAAGAUUUUGGUCUUAAAAAUGUUAAUACCAGUAAGAACUGUAAUGUACCACCCAGCCAGUCUUCAGCUGGCUAUUGCAAUAUCAUUUUCAGAUAACUGUUGGUGAGCAAUGAGAAGCACAUAGCUGUUGCCUGCUUCUUGGACCAACGUCCCAAGCCACAGUUAGACAAUUUUCUGAAGUACACGGAAAAGAUAUGCUUCUUAACACCCUUGUUGACUGCACUGUAACUUAUGUGUUAAUUAGACAUCAGAUAGUUUGCUGUUUGCUACUACUGUAUUCAUCUGUCAACAAUAUCUCCGCAACAACAUCUGCAUCUACCCAUAGGAGAGAGAGAGAGAGAAGGAAGGAAAAACAAAACACAACACAAAAAGCAACAACAACAAAAAAAACAACACCCCAAAACAGUACUACUUUUUCUAAGACUGAUUUUACUGGGGGGUAAAACUUGAUAAUCAAUAACAACAGAAAACAUUGGGUGGGGGAAAGGCAUGACGCAUAUCCUGAGAGGAAUAAUAAAAUAUACCCAGUUUAUAUGGUUAAUCUUCUCUGUAGGCUUGCUCUGCAAAUUUAGGGAAGAUUAAAUUUCAGAUAUGCUGUUUCUUGUUUUUUCUGGCAACAAUAAACUUCAGUUUGGGGGAGGUGGGGGAGGGAGAGGCUGAGUGGGGAGAAAGAGCCACAGUAAAGUGUCUGCUGUCCAUGUAGUUUUGCCAGACUGCUGUCUCAAUUGAGAGCUGUGAUCGAGAUUUAUUGGGCUUAAAAUAUGAAACAGACCUUUCAUGUUGGAAUUCUAAAUAUCUUCUUAAGCAGUAGUGAGUACCACCAAAUGCUUAAAGGCAACACACCACAGUUCAAACCCACACAAUAGUUUCUUCUCUCUUGUGAACCAGCAGAUUGUAAGAAUCUUGUUCCAUCUCAUUUUUUGGACUGGGGAAAGAAUAUGUUGGAUGUUAUCAUCAUCAUCUGAAAAUCACUUUGUUUUUUAUAUUGGAUUUUGGCUCAGAUGGUCAAGAUUGCUAGUAUUUGAACAUGUGCAUUGAAUGGGCAGGUUUAUCACUGAAGUUAAUAAAAAAAAUGCUUGAAUGCAUGCAAGAUGUUUGCAUGUUGGUAGCACAUUUUAUUAAUCUCUUAGUUAUGUAGUGGCAGCAGGAACAGCUUGGAAAAGAUCUAUAGGACUUAUUUCAUGCCAUUUUGCCAGCCUCCUGUUCCUCUGUUAUGCCAACAGCUAUGUUCUACAGGAAAAAUAAAGGUUUCUGCCUGACAAAUAAAA